UACGUAGGCAGCUAGCGUUGUUCGGAAUUACUGGGCGUAAAGCGAGUGUAGGCGGUUUGCCAAGUCCGUUGUGAAAUCUCCCGGCUCAACUGGGAGGGUGCGGCGGAAACUGGCAGGCUAGAGUGCGGAAUGGGAGAGUGGAAUUCCUGGUGUAGCGGUGAAAUGCGUAGAUAUCAGGAGGAACACCGGUGGUGAAGACGGCUCUCUGGACCGCUACUGACGCUGAGACUCGAAAGCGUGGGGAGCAAACAGGAUUAGAAACCCGUGUAGU
rnacentral:rRNA from 1 species